rnacentral:misc_RNA from 1 species
GAAUUUCCUAGAGCUGUGGAAUGGCUUUUCAUCGAUAGUUUAGAAAGUCCGGUGAAAGCCAAAAACGAACUAGAAAAGAA